GAUGAAGAACGCAGCGAAAUGCGAAAAGUAAUGUGAAUUGCAGAAUUCAGUGAAUCAUCGAGUCUUUGAACGCACAUUGCGCCCCCUGGUAUUCCGGGGGGCAUGCCUGUCCGAGCGUCAUUGCUGCCCUCAAGCACGGCUUGUGUGUUGGGCUCCGCCCCCCUCCCGGGGGGCGGGCCCGAAAGGCAGCGGCGGCACCGCGUCCGGUCCUCGAGCGUAUGGGGCUUUGUCACCCGCUCUGUAGGCCCGGCCGGCGCCCGCCGGCGACCCCAAUCAAUCUUUCCAGGUUGACCUCGGAUCAGGUAGGGAUACCCGCUGAACUUAAGCAUAUCAAUAAGCGGAGGA
rnacentral:misc_RNA from 1 species